rnacentral:rRNA from 1 species
GAGUAAUGUCUGGGAAACUGCCUGAUGGAGGGGGAUAACUACUGGAAACGGUGGCUAAUACCGCAUAACGUCGCAAGACCAAAGAGGGGGACCUUCGGGCCUCUUGCCAUCAGAUGUGCCCAGAUGGGAUUAGCUUGUUGGUGAGGUAACGGCUCACCAAGGCGACGAUCCCUAGCUGGUCUGAGAGGAUGACCAGCCACACUGGAACUGAGACACGGUCCAGACUCCUACGGGAGGCAGCAGUGGGGAAUAUUGCACAAUGGGCGCAAGCCUGAUGCAGCCAUGCCGCGUGUAUGAAGAAGGCCUUCGGGUUGUAA